rnacentral:rRNA from 1 species
AACGCGAAGAACCUUACCUGGAUUUGACAUCCUCUGAAAUUAGUAGAGAUAUUAAUGGCCCGCAAGGGACAGAGAGACAGGUGCUGCAUGGCUGUCGUCAGCUCGUGUUGUGAAAUGUUGGGUUAAGUCCCGCAACGAGCGCAACCCCUGCCUUUGGUUGCCAUCAUUUUAGGUGGGCACUCCAGAGGGACUGCCGUCGUUAAGACGGAGGAAGGUGGGGAUGACGUCAAGUCCUCAUGGCCUUUAUAUCCAGGGCGACACACGUGAUACAAUGGUAGGUACAAAGGGUAGCCAAGUGGUGACACGGAGCCAAUCUCAAAAAACCUAUCUCAGUUCGGAUUGGAGUCUGCAACUCGACUCCAUGAAGUUGGAAUUGCUAGUAAUCGCGGAUCAGCACGCCGCGGUGAAUACGUUCCCGGGCCUUGUACACACCGGAGUA